rnacentral:tRNA from 1 species
GUUUUUAUAGUUGAAGUACAACAACAGUUUUUCAGGCUGUAAGUCUGAGUUAAACUCUCAGUGGGAACA